ACACAUGCAAGUCGAACGGAGAUUACAGGCGGAAGUUUUCGGAUGGAAGCUUGUAAACUUAGUGGCGGACGGGUGAGUAACACGUGAGCAACCUGCCUAUCAGAGGGGGAUAACGAUUGGAAACGAUCGCUAAUACCGUAUGACAUAGCGGAACCGCAUGGUUCUGUUAUCAAAGAUUUUAUCGCUGAUAGAUGGGCUCGCGUCCGAUUAGAUAGUUGGUGGGGUAACGGCCUACCAAGUCGACGAUCGGUAGCCGGACUGAGAGGUCGAACGGCCACAUUGGGACUGAGACACGGCCCAGACUCCUACGGGAGGCAGCAGUGGGGGAUAUUGCACAAUGGGGGAAACCCUGAUGCAGCGACGCCGCGUGAGGGAAGACGGUCCUCUGGAUUGUAAACCUCUGUCUUCGGGGACGAAACGAGACGGUACCCGAGGAGGAAGCCACGGCUAACUACGUGCCAGCAGCCGCGGUAAUACGUAGGUGGCAAGCGUUGUCCGGAAUUACUGGGUGUAAAGGGAGCGUAGGCGGGCAGGCAAGUCAGGCGUGAAAUAUAUCGGCUCAACCGGUAACGGCGCUUGAAACUGCAGGUCUUGAGUGAAGUAGAGGUUGGCGGAAUUCCUAGUGUAGCGGUGAAAUGCGUAGAUAUUAGGAGGAACACCAGUGGCGAAGGCGGCCAACUGGGCUUUUACUGACGCUGAGGCUCGAAAGUGUGGGGAGCAAACAGGAUUAGAUACCCUGGUAGUCCACACCGUAAACGAUGAUU
rnacentral:rRNA from 1 species